UUUCAUAUCACAAAACCGCGAUACCAUCCCACUCCAUCUUCAUUCCUAUAUCACAAAACACCUUCACACUCCACCCUCUUGCACACCCAACCCCCUUAACCGCGCCUAUUUCUUCACUUCAACCUCGCACAACCAGUUCCAUUUCCUCACACCAUGAGCAUUGACCAAGAGUGAGAGAGGGAGAGCUUCACCUCGUGAUCAUCGACGAGAGAGAGAGAGAGAGCUGCACCUUGCAGCCGAGAGGAAAGAAAGAAAAAUCGCGAGCUGAAUCUUCUCUGGUCUGUCCGUGAGUUUGAGGGAAGAAAGGAGAGAGCAAGUGGAAGUCGUGGGAGCUGCUGAUCGUCACCACCUUCAUCAGUCCCAGCCGCAACUAUUGCAACCAGAACCAGCACUUCAGGCCUUGCGCGCGUGCCGAGAGGAAGAAAAAAAUUCAGCUCUGCCGUGUGGGUGAGUUGCACUGUGAGCUUGCUAUCGCUCUUGGGGUUUGGUUGUUGCAGCACCGCAGCUCACUAGCUCUCCCUCUCUUGCUCACACGCGAACUGGAGGUGGUGGUCCUGGUUGGAUGUUGCAGUUGCGGUGGAGUUGCUGGAAACGGGUGCAGCUGGUUGAGGUGAAGAAAAUGGUCACAGCUGGUGGAGGUGAAGGUGCAGAAAAGGAUUGAACUCACGCGGUGUCUCUUUCUUUCUUCCCUCAAGCUCGCAGACAGAACCGAAAAUGUGGCAGCUCGCAGUUUUCUUUCCUUGCUCUCAUAUGCAGAAUGCCGCUCUCUCUCCUUCCCCUCGGUCGAUGAUUACAAGGUGAGGAAUGUUGUUGUGGUUUGGGGCUGAGGUAAAAAUGGAGAGGAAAUGGUUUUCGGUGAGUUUGUGCAGAGAAGGAAAUGAGGUUUGGUGAAGGGUGGUGUCUCGGUAUCAAGAAAGGAAGUGGUUUGCGGUUUGCUUGUGCAGAGAAGGAAUUGGAAUUGCGGUUUGUGUUUGUGAAAUAGAGAGGAUGGUAUUGUGGUGCCGCGAUUUAAGGAAAGGAUUGCGUAUAAGAAUUGGUUGCGUAUCGAAUUGGUAAUAGCUGCGGUGAUUGGAUUUGCGGUCAGAAGUCUUGUUUGGUUUGCAUGGAAAUGUAAGGGCAUUUUAGUCUUUUCACUUUGCUCCCUAACCUCAACUUAAUUUCUCAAUUCCAACUUAAUUCUAAAAAUUAUCCC